rnacentral:tRNA from 1 species
GAAAUAUAUUAAAUGUAAGCUGCUAACUUAACAUUAUAACGACUAAACCCGUUAAUAUUUCU